rnacentral:lncRNA from 1 species
CCGAGAUCAUAUUUAUAUGUACAUGUAGGUCCUAUAUAUCCUAUUAAUAAGCUAUCUGAGUAAAAUAUGUCCGUUUGCAAUACUAGGCUGGCCAUGAUGAUUAGAAUAUCCGGUUCGGACACUUCUUCUCUAAAAUCAAAUAAUAAAAUUGAAUGGAUAGGGAAUACUUCCGACUGGCUAUUCAUUUGAUAACAUAACCUAAAUGAGUCAAAUGACGUACAUGUAUAUCUGAAA